rnacentral:tmRNA from 1 species
GGGGUUGAUUCAGGUUUCGACUUUGUUGACUUAGCCAGGGGAAGCGUGCCGGUGCAGGCUGGAGACCACCGUAAGCGUCGCAGCAAUGAAUAAACGCAGAGAAAAACUCUCAGCGUGACUACGCACUCGCUGCCUAAUUCAGUGAGCUAGUCCGUCAGCCCGGGACUGUCUCCGACCCGGUUCCUGGCGUCGACUCAGGAGACUUGCUCUCACUGCGUGUCAGUGCGCGGUGUGGGGACACUUUCACUGACUGGGCCCACCGUCCGGACAUGUUCGUCUGAUCCGGAGGGCCGAUGAGAGGUCACGUGCGAACUGCGCACGGAGAAGCCCUGGCGCGGUGACAGAGGACCCGGGUUCGAUUCCCGGCAACUCCAC